AGGCUCCUCUUUGUCUCUAUCAAGUUUCUUCCCUCUUUUUAGUUUCACGUAAUCCGAUCAUGUUGUAAAGUUUCUUUGUAGAAAUAUAUAUUUUGACAAUGAUAAAACUAAAUGUAUUAGAAAUAUAUCUUCAUUUGAUCAUCUAUCGUUGAUCAUAUGAAUAAUUUGGAAACAAAUGGACAAUGAGCUAAGCCCAUAUAUAGGCCUCACAAUAGCUGCCUCAUACAUACAUACCAUGGGCUCUUUUAGGCCUAUCUACUUCUUUGUUAUAUGAUCGAAAUCAAAAGGUGCCCUUGUGUAGACACGCCAUUUCCUAGUCACGCAACUAUCUUAUCUCCCGGACUUGUUCUACCACAAAACCUGGUCUCAUCCUUCUUACCGUUUUCUUGUUUAAACAAAUAUUUGACUCUCUUACUUUUAAUUUAUUAUAAUCAUCAGCACACGUAAUUCUCCGAGACAUACAAGCAAACGACGGUUUCCUCUUCCUCAU